rnacentral:rRNA from 1 species
CACGCAGGCGGUUGGAUAAGUUAGAUGUGAAAGCCCCGGGCUCAACCUGGGAAUUGCAUUUAAAACUGUCCAGCUAGAGUCUUGUAGAGGGGGGUAGAAUUCCAGGUGUAGCGGUGAAAUGCGUUGAUAUCCUAUAGAACACCGGAGGCGAAGGCGGAUUCCUUGAACAGCACUGACGCUGAGGCACGAAAGCGUGGGGAAGCAAACA